AGCCUUGCUCCUGCAGCAAGCACUGAGGUGCUAGGCGCCUGGGCUUUCCCUUCCCUUUUCCUGAAAUACAGACUGGCUUCUCUUUGGAUAUUGGCAUCCAGCCUUCUGGCAAACUGGGAUUCAGAAUGGCAGAAUAUAGACGCCGUGAAUCUAGUGUCAAUAACAGACCGAUACAGGGGACAACUCAAGCUGAAGGAGGUUCGCCGUGCAGAAAGGGCUUGCUUCUCGCCAAGCGCAGUAGCCAAGGAAACCACCACCGAGGACUGGCCCAGAUAGAAGUGGCGUGGCAUGGCGCCUCUCCUUCCAAUCCGCUGGGCAACAACGUGGCCCAUCGGUGCUGAAGUUUUUAACAAUCUCCUUUGAAAUGUAACUCAUUAUACAAAAGCAGAACUAAAUAAAAAAUACUCCAGAGAGGGAACAGAUUGUUAGCUAUAGAUUAGAAGUGUAGCCUAAUCCUUCACAAGCAUUAAAUAUUUAACAUCAUUGCACCACAGGUGCCAAGAAGAUGUCAGCAUUGUUUAAUUAGACUUAAUUAAACAUAAGGAAAAAUCUAA
rnacentral:lncRNA from 1 species